CUAGUACUCCCUCCAUUCGGAAUUACUUGUCUCGGAAAUGGAUGUGUCUAGAACUAAAAUACGUCUAGAUACAUCCAUUUCUGCGACAAGUAAUUCCGAACGGAGGGAGUACGUA
rnacentral:pre_miRNA from 1 species